rnacentral:rRNA from 1 species
UACGUAGGGUGCGAGCGUUAAUCGGAAUUACUGGGCGUAAAGCGUGCGCAGGCGGUUUUGUAAGCCAGAUGUGAAAUCCCCGGGCUUAACCUGGGAAUGGCAUUUGGGACUGCAAGGCUUGAGUGCGGCAGAGGAGACUGGAAUUCCUGGUGUAGCAGUGAAAUGCGUAGAUAUCAGGAGGAACACCGAUGGCGAAGGCAAUCCCCUGGGCCUGCACUGACGCUCAUGCACGAAAGCGUGGGGAGCAAACAGG